AGAUUGAACGCUGGCGGCAUGCCUUACACAUGCAAGUCGAACGGCAGCACGGGAGCAAUCCUGGUGGCGAGUGGCGAACGGGUGAGUAAUAUAUCGGAACGUGCCCAGUCGGUGGGGGAUAACGCAGCGAAAGCUGUGACUAAUACCGCAUACGAUCUAUGGAUAGGAAAGGCGGGGG
rnacentral:rRNA from 1 species